UACGUAGGGAGCAAGCGUUGUCCGGAAUUACUGGGUGUAAAGGGAGCGUAGGCGGGAUGGCAAGUUGGGUGUUAAAUCUACCGGCUCAACUGGUAGUCGCACUCAAAACUGCUAUUCUUGAGUGAAGUAGAGGCAGGCGGAAUUCCUAGUGUAGCGGUGAAAUGCGUAGAUAUUAGGAGGAGCACCAGUGGCGAAGGCGGCCUGCUGGGCUUUUACUGACGCUGAGGCUCGAAAGCGUGGGGAGCAAACAGG
rnacentral:rRNA from 1 species